rnacentral:lncRNA from 1 species
AAAAAUUAAGCUAUUGAUUAUAUAAUGUCGAGAAUUUCAAUCGGCUCGUUUAGAGCUCGAGCUCGGCUCGACUCGAAAUUAGGCUCGCUCGAGCUCGGCUCGAAUUAAUUUCAAGCCGAGCUUGAGCCUAAAUUUAGGCUCGAAAUUAAUUUCAAGCCGAAUUUGAGCUGACAUAAGCUCGCUCGAGCUCGGCUCGUUU